CCUACGGGGGGCAGCAGUGGGGAAUAUUGGACAAUGGGGGGAACCCUGAUCCAGCCAUGCCGCGUGUGUGAAGAAGGCCCUCGGGUUGUAAAGCACUUUCAGUGAGGAAGAACGCCUGGUGGUUAAUACCCAUCAGGAAAGACAUCACUCACAGAAGAAGCACCGGCUAACUCCGUGCCAGCAGCCGCGGUAAUACGGAGGGUGCGAGCGUUAAUCGGAAUUACUGGGCGUAAAGCGCGCGUAGGUGGCUUGAUAAGCCGGUUGUGAAAGCCCCGGGCUCAACCUGGGAACGGCAUCCGGAACUGUCAAGCUAGAGUGCAGGAGAGGAAGGUAGAAUUCCCGGUGUAGCGGUGAAAUGCGUAGAGAUCGGGAGGAAUACCAGUGGCGAAGGCGGCUUUCUGGACUGACACUGACACUGAGGUGCGAAAGCGUGGGUAGCAAACAGGAUUAGAUACCCGAGUAGUC
rnacentral:rRNA from 1 species